rnacentral:rRNA from 1 species
GACGAACGCUGGCGGCGUGCUUAACACAUGCAAGUCGAGCGGUAAGGCCCCUUCGGGGGUACACGAGCGGCGAACGGGUGAGUAACACGUGGGUGACCUGCCCUCAGCUCUGGGAUAAGCCUGGGAAACUGGGUCUAAUACCGGAUAUGACUCCAUGACGCAUGUCGUGGGGUGGAAAGCCUUGUGCGGCUGGGGAUGGGCCCGCGGCCUAUCAGCUUGUUGGUGGGGUGAUGGCCUACCAAGGCGACGACGGUAGCCGGCCUGAGAGGGCGACCGGCCACACUGGGACUGAGACACGGCCCAGACUCCUACGGGAGGCAGCAGUGGGGAAUCUUGCGCAAUGGGCGAAAGCCUGACGCAGCGACGCCGCGUGAGGGAUGACGGCCUGGUGUAA